rnacentral:rRNA from 1 species
ACGAACGCUGGCGGCGUGCUUAACACAUGCAAGUCGAGCGGUAAGGCCCUUUCGGGGGUACGACGAGCGGCGAACGGGUGAGUAACACGUGGGUGACCUGCCCUCAGCUCUGGGAUAAGCCUGGGAAACUGGGUCUAAUACUGGAUAUGACUCCACGGUGCAUGUCGUGGGGUGGAAAGCCUUGUGCGGCUGAGGAUGGGCCCGCGGCCUAUCAGCUUGUUGGUGGGGUGAUGGCCUACCAAGGCGACGACGGGUAGCCGGCCUGAGAGGGCGACCGGCCACACUGGGACUGAGACACGGCCCAGACUCCUACGGGAGGCAGCAGUGGGGAAUAUUGGACAAUGGGCGCAAGCCUGAUCCAGCCAUGCCGCGUGAGUGAUGAAGGCC